rnacentral:rRNA from 1 species
UACGUAGGCAGCGAGCGUUGUUCGGAGUUACUGGGCGUAAAGAGUGCGUAGGCGGUUUUCUAAGUUUGGUGUGAAAUCUCCCGGCUCAACUGGGAGGGUGCGCCGAAGACUGGGAAGGCUUGAGUAUGGGAGAGGUAAGCGGAAUUCCUGGUGUAGCGGUGAAAUGCGUAGAUAUCGUAAGGAGACCAGUGGCGAAGGCGGGUCUCUGGACAGUUCCUGACGCUGAGGCACGAAGGCCAGGGGAGCAAACGGG